CUUAGAUACAUAAAUACGUCGUCUGUGAUAAAGACUAGAAGUAUUAGACUUGGUCAUCUUUAAGCCAGAAUUAAAGAGUUAAAUUCCAUUGUCCUGUAGAACUUUUCGUGUGUACAUUUAUUAAGUCUCCACAUCAUGGACUUCAACUCUACAUAUUUGUACUCUUAAAUAGGUUUAUUACAUAGACUGAAAUUUUGCCUAAAUAUCAGAGUAAAACAUUAAAAGUGAAAGUCCCCAAAUACCUAAAAGUCAACACCAUUUUUUUGUCCAUAAUCAAAUUCAGCAUCUUAAUGCCAGGAACUUCAAAUUGAUCAUACUUUUAUAAAGUUUGAUUUACCUGCCAAGUUACAAGAAUCAUCAGACUGUUUUUAGAGAUACUCUUAAGAGACUACAAUCAUGAUAACAUUAUUGUUACCAGAGUUACAGUGCAUGUGCUAAAAGAAAUGUCACUUGCCUCUCUUUAUGAAUUAUUUGUCUUAAGAGAGGCAAUUAAAAUCCAUCUGGAAAUUUGUA